AAAUCUUUGCAAAGACCAAUGAUUUUUCCACAAAUAAGUUUCGUUCCAUAUAAAGAUACAAACACAAUAGCAUAACGUACAAUACUUACGUAGCACAUAAUUCUCUGUCUAAAAUAGUUCAUCUGACAAAUAUCACAUCGUUGAUUUUCCUGAAACUCACCGUUCUCGCGUGUCAACGGCAGGGCUAACACCACCUCCCUCAGCCACCAUCGACAUCGACUUCGUUAUAAUCUCCGUGAUCCUCUCGGAUUCAGUAAGCAUCUUCUUUUAUCUGGACAACUCACUGCAAAUUGGAUAAUUCUAGAAUCAAAAGUCUAUUGGCGACUCUAUUGCUUCAGUAGUAAUAGUGGUUUCUUUCUUUUCUAUUCCUUUUUGCUUAAAGUUCGGUUUGUUUGUACUGGAAAGUCUGAUAGGUGGCUAAGUUGCUCUAAAAGUACUUUGUAAAUAAUUUUACUUGCUUAAUUUUAAUUUUUGUGUUAAUUAAUCACCUUCUAUUGUCGACUAUAUUGUUCUGGAAGUAAUGCGAUUAUGCUCGUUCAUCUAUUUAUCUCCUUGGGUGAAUUCAGAUCGUUUCCUUUAGAACUAGUGUCUCAUUGGUGACUGUAUUGCUCAUAGAAGCAGUUGUGAAUUUGCUUUGUGUUACUUUUUUGUUUUUUCUGUCUCCUGAAUUUGGUUCAGGAUUAGUUGAAGUAAGAUUGAUGUGAGCUGCAAGUUUACUUAGCAUAAGUAGAGUGACUGUGAGGUGAAAUUAAAUGGUAUUCUGGUGCCUAAAUGCAAUUGAGUAUCAAGUGAGAGAAGAUCGCUUGAGAUAGCUGAUCAUGUCAUGUGUUAACCUCUAGAUACACUGGCCGUAAGUGUGAAAACAUGGCUAAUUAAUGUGUUAAAACUUAAAAAGGGACGAGGUAGGCCUAAGAUCACAUGAAAAGGAGUUGUCUCGAAAGACUUACAAUCUCUUGGAAUCAAUGCAAAUUUAGUGAAAGA
rnacentral:lncRNA from 1 species